rnacentral:rRNA from 1 species
AUUGAACGCUGGCGGCAGGCCUAACACAUGCAAGUCGAGCGGAUGAAGGGAGCUUGCUCCUGGAUUCAGCGGCGGACGGGUGAGUAAUGCCUAGGAAUCUGCCUGGUAGUGGGGGAUAACGUCCGGAAACGGGCGCUAAUACCGCAUACGUCCUGAGGGAGAAAGUGGGGGAUCUUCGGACCUCACGCUAUCAGAUGAGCCUAGGUCGGAUUAGCUAGUUGGUGGGGUAAAGGCCUACCAAGGCGACGAUCCGUAACUGGUCUGAGAGGAUGAUCAGUCACACUGGACCUGAGACCCGGUCCAGACUCCUACGGGAGGCAGCAGUGGGGACUAUUGGACUCUGGGCGAAAGCCUGAUCCAGCCAUGCCGCGUGUGUGAAGAAGGUCUUCGGAUUGUAAAGCACUUUACGUUGGGAGGAAGGGCAGUAAGUUAAUACCUUGCUGUUUUGACGUUACCAACAGAAUAAGCACCGGCUAACUUCGU